rnacentral:rRNA from 1 species
UACGUGAGGGUGCAAGCGUUGUCCGGAAUUAUUGGGCGUAAAGAGCUCGUAGGCGGUCUGUCGCGUCGGGCUGUGAAAACUCGGGGCUCAACCCCGAGCCUGCAGUCGAUACGGGCAGACUAGAGGUGCUGUAGGGGAGACUGGAAUUCCUGGUGGUAGCGGUGAAAUGCGCAGAUAUCAGGAGGAACACCGGUGGCGAAGGCGGGUCUCCGUGGGCCGAUGACUGACGCUGGAGGAGCGAAAGCGUGGGGAGCGAACAGG